rnacentral:misc_RNA from 1 species
CAUACCUUGUUUUCAAUCUUCUCUCGUUAUCUCUUUUAUCUUUACUUCUUGUUGGACUUCUCCAUUUCUAGUUUAUCUGAAAUUACCUUUUUUUUUUCUUUUAACACCACUAACAAUGCUAUGCGGUUCCUUUAUUUUAGGAUUUUCUAUGAUUACUUUUUUUUUGAAGACACCAACAUGCUAUGUAGGUCCUUUAUUUCUGUAUUAUUUAUUACACUAACAUGCUAUUUAGGUACUCUGUUUCAAGGUUAUCUGAAAUUGCUUCCCCCCGCCCCCCUGUCCUCUCUCCUCCUUUCUCUUUUUCUAACAAAACUAACAGUGCUAUUUGGGUGUGCUUGUGGAUAUCCAGGAUCCUGGGUUUGUUUUUAG